rnacentral:lncRNA from 1 species
AUGACCAAAGAGUUUCUUAAACUCAGAACACGUUUGGACAACAUAAACAUAUUCUCUCAUUUACUUCCCUUCUAUUUGUUAUUAUUUAUUUCAUUUAGUUCUCUGUGCUUCUGUUUGGUGCAGUGCGAUUCAUGUGUUGUUCUUCUUUCCCACUCCCCUCUGGGGAGAGCGGGAAAAAAAGUUCAGAUUCCAGGUGGAUCACCCGUGCUCAUGCUCUGGCCGUGGACCACACCUCCGGCUCAUCAUCUGGCAUCUCGAAGUGGAAGAGAUGCCUGGUGGAUCGUCUCUGGCUUGACUUGGCCGUGGACCACGCCUCCGGCUCAUUAUCUCAUAUCUCAGAGUGGGAGAGAUUCCAGGUGGAUCGUCUGUGCUAUUGUUCUUGUUCGUGGACCACACCUCUGGCUCGUCAUCUUGCAUCUUGAAGAGGAAGAGAUUCGUGGUGGAUUGUCUGUGCUUCUUUUCUGUGCCGUGGACCACGCCUCCGGCUCAUUAUCUCGCAUCUCAGAGUGGGAAAAAAGUUCAGAUUCCAGGUGGAUCACCCGUGCUCAUGCUGGCCGUGGACCACGUCUCUGGCUCGUCAUCUGGCAUCUCGAAGUGGAAGAGAUUCUAUGUGGAUCAUCUGUGCUUCUUGUCUGUGCCGUGGACCACGCCUCCGGCUCAUUAUCUCGCAUCUCAGAGUGGGAGAGAUUCCAAGUGGAUCGCCUCUGGCUUGACUUGGCCGUGGACCACGCCUCUGGCUCGUCAUCUCACAUCUCGAAGUUGAAGAGAUUCCUGGUGGAACAGCUGUGCUUCUUUUCUCUGCCGUGGACCACGCCUCCGGCUCAUUAUCUCGCAUCUCAGAGUGGGAGAGGUUCCAGGUGGAUCGUCUGUGCUAUUGUUCUUGGCCGUGGACCACGCCUCUGGCUCGUCAUCUUGUAUCUCAGAGUGGGAGAGGUUCCAGGUGGAUCGUCUGUGCUCCUGUUCUUGGCCGUGGACCACGCUACCGGCUCAUUAUCUCGGAGUGGGAGAAAUUCCGGGUGGAUCGCCCGUUCUCCUGUUUUUGGCAGUGGACCACGCCCCCGGCUCGUUUUGGCUUUGAACCUGCCCCCCCCCUCAUCUCCCAGUCCUAUCUGGAUGAACUCUAUUCAAAUAGCUGUAGAGUUUAGAUAA